GGGCGCAAGCCUGAUCCAGCCAUGCCGCGUGUGUGAUGAAGGCCUUAGGGUUGUAAAGCACUUUCGCCGAUGAAGAUAAUGACUGUAGUCGGAGAAGAAGCCCCGGCUAACUUCGUGCCAGCAGCCGCGGUAAUACGAAGGGGGCUAGCGUUGUUCGGAAUUACUGGGCGUAAAGCGUACGUAGGCGGAUUGUUAAGUGAGGGGUGAAAUCCCGAGGCUCAACCUCGGAACUGCCUUUCAUACUGGCAAUCUUGAGUCCGGGAGAGGUGAGUGGAACUCCUAGUGUAGAGGUGAAAUUCGUAGAUAUUAGGAAGAACACCAGUGGCGAAGGCGGCUCACUGGCCCGGAACUGACGCUGAGGUACGAAAGCGUGGGGAGCAAACAGGAUUAGAUACCCUGGUAGUCCACGCCGUAAACGAUGGAUGCUAGCCGUCGGGGAGCUUGCUCUUCGGUGGCGCAGCUAACGCAUUAAGCAUCCCGCCUGGGGAGUACGGUCGCAAGAUUAAAACUCAAAGGAAUUGACGGGG
rnacentral:rRNA from 1 species